rnacentral:rRNA from 1 species
CAUAGGUUAAUGAGGCGAACCGGGGGAACUGAAACAUCUAAGUACCCCGAGGAAAAGAAAUCAACCGAGAUUCCCCCAGUAGCGGCGAGCGAACGGGGAGCAGCCCAGAGCCUGAAUCAGUAUGUGUGUUAGUGGAAGCGUCUGGAAAGGCGCGCGAUACAGGGUGACAGCCCCGUACACAAAAAUGCACAUGCUGUGAGCUCGAUGAGUAGGGCGGGACACGUGGUAUCCUGUCUGAAUAUGGGGGGACCAUCCUCCAAGGCUAAAUACUCCUGACUGACCGAUAGUGAACCAGUACCGUGAGGGAAAGGCGAAAAGAACCCCGGCGAGGGGAGUGAAAAAGAACCUGAAACCGUGUACGUACAAGCAGUGGGAGCACGCUUAGGCGUGUGACUGCGUACCUUUUGUAUAAUGGGUCAGCGACUUAUAUUCUGUAGCAAGGUUAACCGAAUAGGGGAGCCGAAGGGAAACCGAGUCUUAACUGGGCGUUAAGUUGCAGGGUAUAGACCCGAAACCCGGUGAUCUAGCCAUGGGCAGGUUGAAGGUUGGGUAACACUAACUGGAGGACCGAACCGACUAAUGUUGAAAAAUUAGCGGAUGACUUGUGGCUGGGGGUGAAAGGCCAAUCAAACCGGGAGAUAGCUGGUUCUCCCCGAAAGCUAUUUAGGUAGCGCCUCGUGAAUUCAUCUCCGGGGGUAGAGCACUGUUUCGGCAAGGGGGUCAUCCCGACUUACCAACCCGAUGCAAACUGCGAAUACCGGAGAAUGUUAUCACGGGAGACACACGGCGGGUGCUAACGUCCGUCGUGAAGAGGGAAACAACCCAGACCGCCAGCUAAGGUCCCAAAGUCAUGGUUAAGUGGGAAACGAUGUGGGAAGGCCCAGACAGCCAGGAUGUUGGCUUAGAAGCAGCCAUCAUUUAAAGAAAGCGUAAUAGCUCACUGGUCGAGUCGGCCUGCGCGGAAGAU